CCGUCGAAGAUGGCCUCAUCGUCGAAGCGUGCACGGGUGAGCUUUAUCUCCGCAGAAAUUGCUUUAGAAAAAACAUUUUAUGAUGAGGACACCGCUGAUGGGAUGGAAAGUGGAGAAGAAAGUGAUUUAGACCGGCAGAUCGAGCGAGGGAGAAGUUGAAGAUGACGAUCGGCCGGAGGAGGCUUGCGCUUCGACUUAGGAACCCAUGGCUCCUGAUUUUCAGGAAAUGUUGCUGAAAAGAUUUUCAGGAAAUGUUGCUGACAUGUUAAUGAUUUACUUCUGUUAUCAAUUAAUCUUAAGUAACCUAUACCUGUGAGGAAAAGUGACUUUU